rnacentral:rRNA from 1 species
AGAGUUUGAUCCUGGCUCAGGACGAACGCUGGCGGCGUGCCUAACACAUGCAAGUCGAGCGGAGGUAGACAAGGAGUAAUCUGAGUUUACCUUAGCGGCGGACGGGUGAGUAACGCGUGAGCAACCUGCCUUUCACAGGGGGAUAAGGCGGCGAAAGCCGCUCUAAUACCGCAUGAGACCACGGUGAUGAUAUUACAGGGGUCAAAGGAGCAAUCCGGUGAAAGAUGGGCUCGCGUCCGAUUAGGUAGUUGGUGGGGUAGAGGCUCACCAAGCCAAUGAUCGGUAGCCGGCCUGAGAGGGUGAACGGCCACAUUGGAACUGAGACACGGCCCAGACUCCUACGGGAGGCAGCAGUGGGGAAUAUUGCACAAUGGAGGAAACUCUGAUGCAGCGACGCCGCGUGAAGGAUGAAGUAUUUCGGUAUGUAAACUUCUAUCAGCAGGGAAGAAAAUGACGGUACCUGACUAAGAAGCCCCGGCUAACUACGUGCCAGCAGCCGCGGUAAUACGUAGGGGGCAAGCGUUAUCCGGAUUUACUGGGUGUAAAGGGAGCGUAGACGGCUUUGCAAGCCAGAUGUGAAAGGCAGGGGCUCAACCCCUGGACUGCAUUUGGAACUGCGAGGCUAGAGUGUCGGAGAGGCAAGUGGAAUUCCUAGUGUAGCGGUGAAAUGCGUAGAUAUUAGGAGGAACACCAGUGGCGAAGGCGGCUUGCUGGACGAUGACUGACGUUGAGGCUCGAAAGCGUGGGGAGCAAACAGGAUUAGAUACCCUGGUAGUCCACGCCCUAAACUAUGUCAACUAGGUGUUGGGUGGGUAAAACCAUUUAGUACCGUAGCUAACGCGUGAAGUUGACCGCCUGGGGAGUACGGCCGCAAGGUUAAAACUCAAAGGAAUUGACGGGGACCCGCACAAGCGGUGGAUGAUGUGGAUUAAUUCGAUGCAACGCGAAAAACCUUACCUACCCUUGACAUGCCAGGAACUUGCCAGAGAUGGCUUGGUGCCCGAAAGGGAGCCUGGACACAGGUGCUGCAUGGCUGUCGUCAGCUCGUGUCGUGAGAUGUUGGGUUAAGUCCCGCAACGAGCGCAACCCUUGUCGUUAAUUGCCAUCAUUUGGUUGGGCACUUUAACGAGACUGCCGGUGACAAACCGGAGGAAGGUGGGGAUGACGUCAAGUCCUCAUGGCCCUUAUGGGUAGGGCUUCACACGUCAUACAAUGGUCGGUACAGAGGGUUGCCAAGCCGUGAGGCGGAGCCAAUCCCAGAAAGCCGAUCGUAGUCCGGAUUGCAGGCUGCAACUCGCCUGCAUGAAGUCGGAAUCGCUAGUAAUCGCGGAUCAGCAUGUCGCGGUGAAUACGUUCCCGGGUCUUGUACACACCGCCCGUCACACCAUGGGAGCGGGUUCCGCCAGAAGUGGGUAGCCUAACCGCAAGGAGGGCGCUUACCACGGCGGGGUUCGUGACUGGGGUGAAGUCGUAACAAGGUAACC